GAUCAGUAUGGCUGGCUCUGUGAAGCCAUGUGGUAACCAAUUUAUUCAGUCAGCUCCUCCUCCACCCGCCCUCUGCCAGAUGUUGAUGGAAAACUGAGCCAGGAGGCUGGGGGUAGAAGCAGGGAGGACUAGGAAAGAAGGAAGUAGGAGGCAGCAGGGAAAGAAAGAACAGAGGAGAAGUUAGCAGUCCCUGCUAUCGAGUAAGAAGGCUUUGAUAUAUGUGUGGGAGAGCGAGAAGGAAGCUGCAGCUUCAGAGGCUCGGUCGCCCAGGUAGGCUAGUCCACCCGGCUGGCCGCGUUGCCAGCAGUUCCUGUCCUGUGUGAGGACGUGACAAAGACAGUGCCAGCAUGUUGGUUUUCUCUACUGGUGUAUGGGGAUGACGGUGAAGCUCUCCAAGGGCUCAGGAAACGUGGAAGCCUACGAGGAAAUCCUCAGAAGCAGAAGGCUGUGGAGGAAAGGCCUGGAGGGAGGAUCAGCUCUGCCGCAGAGAUUUCUCGUCGCUCUGGGUCCUGUUUGCCCCAAAGCCUCCUUUUAAAAGAGUGCGGGAGCCCCCGUGUGGACAUUUCGGGAAUACUGUGAGCUUUCUCAUUCCUGAGUGUGUUCCAUGGUUGGUGGUAUUAUUUCAGGAGGCUGCAGAACCCUUUGGAGCUUCCCUCCUGCCCCAGUAAGGGCUGGUCGAAGGGAAUUCACACUGCUACGCAUUCUCUGGCCCUCCAGGCCUUCCUUUGAAGAGUGGACAUUUCGAUGACUCUUUAACUUUUGUGUUCUCCGUGUGUUCAAAUACAGCAUCACACUGAUGUAGGUGUCUGAAUCUCAUUGAAUCAUGGCUGCACUGGUCUCUGAGAGCCUGGUUAUUUUCACAGGGAAAAUUGCUUGGGAGGCCCCAGAGAAGC